rnacentral:misc_RNA from 1 species
GAUGAAGGAAGCUUUGCCAUAUAUAGGAAUGGCGUCAACCCAAUUCGCACAAGUUGGUUUAAUGAUAGUUGGCAAAAAAGCCAUGUCCGCCGGAAUGACCAAUUUCACCUUCGUCUUCUACUCCAACACUCUUGCAGCACUUAUUCUCCUCCCUUCUUUCUUCUUCUACAGAUCAACUCGUCCGCCACUCAAUUUCUCACUCAUUUCUGAGUUUUUCUUGCUGGGUGUUCUUGGUUGUUCAGCUCAGCUAACUGGAUAUACUGGGAUUAAUUAUACUUCUGCUUCGUUUGCCUCAGCAAUGCUCAACCUCAUCCCAGGUUUUACUUUCAUACUUGCCGUCAUUUUCAGGAUGGAGAAAUUAGAUUGUCGAAGUACAAGUACCCUGAUUAAAUCCAUUGGAACCAUCGUCUCAAUUGCCGGCGCAUUCA